rnacentral:rRNA from 1 species
UACGUAGGUGGCAAGCGUUAUCCGGAAUUAUUGGGCGUAAAGCGCGCGCAGGUGGUUUCUUAAGUCUGAUGUGAAAGCCCUCGGCUCAACCGUGGAGGGUCAUUGGAAACUGGGAGACUUGAGUGCAGAAGAGGAAAGUGGAAUUCCAUGUGUAGCGGUGAAAUGCGUAGAUAUUGGGAAGAACACCGGUGGCGUAGGCGACUAGCUGGGCUGUAACUGACGCUGAGUAACGAAAGCCAGGGGAGCGAAUGGG